AACGAAAUAAAGGCAGAAAUAAAGAUGUUCUUUGAAACCAACGAGAACAAAGACACAACAUACCAGAAUCUCUGGGACACAUUCAAAGCAGUGUGUAGAGGGAAAUUUAUAGCACUAAAUGCCCACAAGAGAAAGCAGGAAAGAUCUAAAAUUGACACCCUAACAUCACAAUUAAAAGAACUAGAGUAGCAAGAGCAAACACAUUCAAAAGCUAGCAGAAGGCAAGAAAUAACUAAGAUCAGAGAAGAACUGAAGGAAAUAGAGACACAAAAAAACCCUUUAAAAAAAUCAAUGAAUCCAGGAGCUGUUUUUUUGAAAAGAUCAACAAAAUUGAUAGCCCUCUAGCAAGACUAAUAAAGAAGAAAAGAGAGAAGAAUCAAAUAGAUGCAAUAAAAAGUGACAAAGGAGAUAUCACCACUGAUCCCACAUAAAUACAAACUACCAUCAGAGAAUACUAUAAACACCUCUAUGCAAAUAAACUAGAAAACCUAGAAGAAAUGGAUAAAUUCCUUGACACAUACACUCUCCCAAGAGUAAACCAGGAAGAAGUUGAAUCUCUGAAUAGACCAAUAACAGGCUCUGAAAUUGAGGCAAUAAUUAACAGCUUACCAACCAAAAAAUGUCCAGUAGCAGAUGGAUUCACAGCUGAAUUCUAACAGAGGUACAAGGAGGAUCUGGUACCAUUCAUUCUGAAACUAUUCCAAUCAAUAGAAAAAGAGAGAAUCCUCCCCAACUCAUUUUAUGAGGCCAGCAUCAUCCUGAUACCAAAGCCUGGCAGAGACACAACCAAAAAAGAGAAUUUUAGACCAAUAUCCUUGAUGAACAUUGAAGCAAAAAUUCUCAAUAAAAUACUGGCAAACUGAAUCCAGCAGCACAUCAAAAAGCUUAUCCACCAUGAUCAACUGGGCUUCAUCCCUGGGAUGCAAGACUGGUUCAACAUACGCAAAUCAAGAAAUGUAAUCCAGCAUAUAAACAGAACCAAAGACAAAAACCACAUGAUUAUCUCAAUAGAUGCAGAAAAAGCCUUUGACAAAAUUCAACAAUGCUUCAUGCUAAAAACUCUCAGUAAAUUAGGUAUUGAUGGGACGUAUCUCAAAAUAAUAAGAGCUAUCUAUGACAAACCCACAGCCAAUAUCAUACUGAAUAGACAAAAACUGGAAGCAUUCCCUUUGAAAACUGGCACAAGACAGGGAUGCCCUCUCUCAACACUCCUAUUCAACAUAGUGUUGGAAGUUCUGGCCAGGGCAAUCAGGCAGGAGAAAGAAAUAAAAGGUAUUCAAUUAGGAAAAGAGGAAGUCAAAUUGUCCCUGUUUGCAGAUGACAUGAUUGUAUAUCUAGAAAACCCCGUCGUCUCAGCCCAAAAUCUCCUUAAGCUGAUAAGCAACUUCAGCAAAGUCUCAGGAUACAAAAUCAAUGUACAAAAAUCACAAGCAUUCUUAUACACCAAUAACAUACAAACAGAGAGCCAAAUCAUGAGUGAACUCCCAUUCACAAUUGCUUCAAAGAGAAUAAAAUACCUAGGAAUCCAACUUACAAGGGAUGUGAAGGACCUCUUCAAGGAGAACAACAAACCACUACUCAAUGAAAUAAAAGAGGAUACAAACAAAUGGAAGAACAUUCUAUGCUCAUGGGUAGGAAGAAUCAAUAUCGUGAAAAUGGCCAUACUGCCCAAGGUAAUUUAUAGAUUCAAUGCCAUCCCCAUCAAGCUACCAAUGACUUUCUUCACAGAAUUGGAAAAAACUACUUUAAAGUUCAUAUGAAACCAAAAAAGAGCCUGCAUUGCCAAGUCAAUCCUAAGCCAAAAGAACAAAGCUGGAGGCAUCACACUACCUGACUUCAAACUAUACUACAAGCCUAUGGUAACCCAAACAGCAUGGUACUGGUACCAAAACAGAGAUAUAGACCAGUGGAACAGAACAGAGCCCUCAGAAAUAAUGCCACAUAUCUACAACUAUCUGAUCUUUGACAAACCUGAAAAGCAAGCAAUGGGGAAAGGAUUCCCUAUUUAAUAAAUGGUGCUGGGAAAACAGGCUAGCCACAUGUAGAAAGCUCAAACUGGAUCCCUUCCUUACACCUUAUACAAAGAUUAAUUCAAGAUGGAUUAAAGGCUUAAAUGUUAGACCUAAAACCAUAAAAACCCUAGAAGAAAACCUAGGCAGUACCAUUCAGGACAUAGGCAUGGGCAAAGCCUUCAUGUCUAAAACACCAAAAGCAAUGGCAACAAAAGCCAAAAUUGACAAAUGGGAUCUCAUUAAACUAAAGAGCUUCUGCACAGCAAAAGAAACUACCAUCAGAGUGAACAGGCAACCUACAGAAUGGGAGAAAAUUUUUGCCACCUACUCAUCUGACAAAGGGGUAAUAUCCAGAAUUUACAAUGAACUCAAACAAAUUUACAAGAAAAAAAGAAACAACCCCAUCAAAAAGUGGGUGAAGGAUAUGAACAGACACUUCUCAAAAGAAGACAUUUAUGCAGCCAAAAAACACAUGAAAAAAUGCUCAUCAUCACUGGCCAUCACAGAAAUGCAAAUUGAAACCACAAUGAGACACCAUCUCACACCAGUUAGAAUGGUGAUCAUUAAAAAGUCAGGAAACAACAGGUGCUGGAGAGGAUGUGGAGAAAUAGGAACACUUUUAUACUGUUGGUGGGACUGUAAACUAGUUCAACCAUUGUGGAAUUCAGUGUGGCGAUUCCUCAGGGAUCUAGAACUAGAAAUACCAUUUGACCCAGCCAUCCCAUUACUGGGUAUAUACCCAAAGGAUUAUAAAUCAUGCUGCUAUAAAGACACAUGCACACGUAUGUUUAUCACGGUGCUAUUCACAAUAGCAAAGACUUGGAACCAACCCAAAUGUCCAACAAUGAUAGACUGGAUUAAGAAAAUGUGGCACAUAUACACCAUGGAAUACUAUGCAGCCAUAAAAAAUGAUGAGUUCAUGUCCUUUGUAGGGACAUGGAUGAAGCUGGAAACCAUAAUUCUCAGCAAACUAUGGCAAGGACGAAAAACCAAACACCGCAUGUUCUCACUCAUAGGUGGGAAUUGAACAAUAAGAACACAUGGACACAGAAGGGGAACAUCACACACUGGGGACUGUUGUGGGGUGGGGGAAGUUGGGAGGGAUAGCAUUAGGAGAUAUACCUAAUGCUAAAUGACGAGUUAAUGGGUGCAGCACACCAACAUGGCACAUGUAUACAUAUGUAACAAACUUGCACGUUGUGCACAUGUACCCUAAAACUUAAAGUAUAAUAAUAAUAAAAUUAAAAAAAUGAAACAAUAUAAUACAUAUUUUCCAUAUUUGGCAAAUUCUUUUACUCUGCAUUAUUUUUCUGAGGUAUAACCAUAUUAUAUGUGGGACAGUAGUUUAUUUUCAUUAUUGCAUAAUAGUAUAUUGAAUUAAUAUUCUACAAAUGAUUUAUCCAUUCUACUGAUGUCAAGAAUUUGUGUUGUUUCCCAGUUUUAUGGGAAAUAACACAAAUUUAUUGGAUUAUUACGAAUGGUGCCACUGUGAACAUUAUUGUGUAUAUGUGCAUAUAUUUCUUUUUGAACUAUACCUAAAAAUGAAAUUGGUUAAUAGGAAAUGUGUACAUUUAACUUUAGCAUGCAAUGUAGUUCUUCCAAUGUCUAUAUUCAACUUUAGCAUAUAAUAUAGUCUUCCAACUUACGGCCCACCUAAGUUCUUCCAACUUAGGCCUCCCACAUUUUCACCAAUACUUAAUAUUAUCAUUCUUGCUAUU
rnacentral:lncRNA from 1 species